rnacentral:rRNA from 1 species
UACAGAGGGUGCAAGCGUUAAUCGGAAUUACUGGGCGUAAAGCGUGCGCAGGCGGUGAUGCAAGACAGAGGUGAAAUCCCCGGGCUCAACCUGGGAACUGCCUUUGUGACUGCAUGACUAGAGUACGGUAGAGGGAGAUGGAAUUCCGCGUGUAGCAGUGAAAUGCGUAGAUAUGCGGAGGAACACCGAUGGCGAAGGCAAUCCCCUGGACCUGUACUGACGCUCAUGCACGAAAGCGUGGGGAGCAAACAGG